UGUGGGCUGCGCCCUCGCUCUGAGGGUUUGUGGCCCACGGCUCCUUCGCGGUCCCUGCCGCCAUCGCUCACGCUCCGCGUUGUAGAGAAGAUGGUGGGUCGGAGCAGUGCCAUCGCCGCCAUGUACGUGGGGCCCUUUUUAUCGGGUACUACAUCUACUUCGACCACAAAAGACGAAGUGACCCCAACUUUAAGAACAGGCUUCGAGAACGAAGAAAGAAACAGAAGCUUGCCAAGGAGAGAGCUGGGCUUCCCAAGUUACCUGACCCUAACGAUGCUGAAGCUGUUCGGAAAUUCUUCCUUGAUGAAAUACAACUUGGUGAAGAAUUACUAGCUCAAGGUGAAUAUGAGAAGGGAGUAGACCAUCCGACGAAUGCAAUUGCUGUGUGUGGACAGCCUCAGCAGUUACUGCAGGUCUUACAGCAAACUCUUCCACCACCAGUGUUCCAGAUGCUUCUGACUAAGCUCCCAACAAUUAGUCAGAGAAUUGUAAGUGCUCAGAGCUUGGCUGAAGAUGACGUGGAAUGAGAAACAAAUGUCAACCUAAUAAAAUCUUAAUUAAAAA